AAUAAAAUUCUGGAGUCACCACAUGUUUGGACAGAACUACCUAUGUCCACCUUGUUCAAUUCCAACUUGAAAGUGGGAAAAGAUGAAUUUGAGAUACAGAACAGAGCACACUUGGCCCCUGAAAGUGGAUUAAGAACUAAAAGGUCACUUCAUCAAGGUCCUUGCUUACUUUCAACACUGUCUUAACAUUCAUGGCACACUGUUUAUCAGGAUUUUGAAGUCUCUUUCCAGGUUUGUGCCAUGAAGACCAAAACUGCUCCUCUUUCUGGAGGGGCGGCAUGUCAGAAUCCUUGCGACCACUCCUUUGCACUGCUAGUUCGUUUGCUGUGGUUCUGCCAUUCCAAGCAGAUGGGGGGAGAAGGUCAGAGCGGGGACUGCUAGGCGCUGCUGAGCAAUUACUGAACUCUCAGGAAUGCGUAAGGGAAUAGCAACGAAGAAAAUCUGAGAACCCCGACAACCUGCACAGGAAGGCUUCGAAGAUAGCGGGGGAGGGGAUAACAAGAGGACUUUAAAUUGGGGUUUAGCACAUUGUGAAUUUAGUUCCAGCUGUUUCUUUGU